AUAUAUAUAUAAAAAAAAAAAAAAAAAAAAAAAAGUUCACCCAGGGUGAGGCUUGUCCAUUGCAGUCCGCCCAUGCUGACCCCUGCGAAUUCCCCAAAUGCGGGAAUCUCGACUGCAUAAUUUAUGGUAGUGGGGGACUGCGUUCGCGCUCUCCCCUG